AAACAUGCAAGUCGAACGAUGAAGCCCAGCUUGCUGGGUGGAUUAGUGGCGAACGGGUGAGUAACACGUGAGUAACCUGCCCUUAACUCUGGGAUAAGCCUGGGAAACUGGGUCUAAUACCGGAUAGGAGCGCCUACCGCAUGGUGGGUGUUGGAAAGAUUUAUCGGUUUUGGAUGGACUCGCGGCCUAUCAGCUUGUUGGUGAGGUAAUGGCUCACCAAGGCGACGACGGGUAGCCGGCCUGAGAGGGUGACCGGCCACACUGGGACUGAGACACGGCCCAGACUCCUACGGGAGGCAGCAGUGGGGAAUAUUGCACAAUGGGCGCAAGCCUGAUGCAGCGACGCCGCGUGAGGGAUGACGGCCUUCGGGUUGUAAACCUCUUUCAGUAGGGAAGAAGCGAAAGUGACGGUACCUGCAGAAGAAGCACCGGCUAACUACGUGCCAGCAGCCGCGGUAAUACGUAGGGUGCGAGCGUUAUCCGGAAUUAUUGGGCGUAAAGAGCUCGUAGGCGGUUUGUCGCGUCUGUCGUGAAAGUCCGGGGCUUAACCCCGGAUCUGCGGUGGGUACGGGCAGACUAGAGUGCAGUAGGGGAGACUGGAAUUCCUGGUGUAGCGGUGGAAUGCGCAGAUAUCAGGAGGAACACCGAUGGCGAAGGCAGGUCUCUGGGCUGUAACUGACGCUGAGGAGCGAAAGCAUGGGGAGCGAACAGGAUUAGAUACCCUGGUAGUCCAUGCCNGUAACGUUGGGCACUAGGUGUGGGGACCAUUCCACGGGUUCCGCGCC
rnacentral:rRNA from 1 species